GUCUACAGCCAUGCCACCCUGAACGCUCCCGAUCUCGGAAGCUAAGCAGGGUCGUGCCUACUUAGUACUUGGAUAGGAGACCACCUGGGAAUACCAGGUGCUGUAGGCU
rnacentral:rRNA from 1 species